rnacentral:lncRNA from 1 species
CUUGUCCAUACUUUCUCUUCCUGGGCUUUCUCCUUUCACCCACAGACUUGAUGAUCUGACCUUAUUCCUCAACUUCUGGCCUCAACUUCUCCAUAGGACAUUCCAUGACUGACCAUUCUCUUCUUGAGUCACCUGAUUAUUAUCUUGGUUUUCAGCACCCCCAUACUCUGCUGGUUUGGCUUCUUCCUUCGUGGAUUGUCCUGUUCCAUCUUCUCUGUUGAACUUUAAAUAGUAAAACAUCUAAAUCCAGUCUUCUCCACAAAAUCUACAUCCCCUUAAUUGCUUUAUAUACAAAAUAUAUCCCCCAAUUAACUGCUUCUCACUACCUAAGCCCCUUCCAAUUACUUGCUUAAUCUGAACUGUGACCACAUCUCUCCUGAGCUACCCCUUACAAACCUUUCUCCAUACAAUAAUCAAAAACAUUCUUUUUUUUUUUUUGUACUUUCAGACUUAGAAAUUUAGAAUAUUCUAAUGAGCCCCAUCACAUUACAACAUUAGUCAAUAUAGCUUCUCAUUUCAACAACAUUCCUCUUCUCUACAUUACCCUGGCUAGAUUAUUGCUUUGACAUUAUUUCAUCCACUUAUUAGAAUGUUCUUCUCUUCUGAAAAUACAAACCAGUCGUGUGUUGGGCGAGUGAUACUGUUUGCCCCGGACUGUCCUAAUUUUAAAACUGAAAGUCCCACAUGUCAGGAAACCCCUCAGUUCCAGUCAUUUUUUGAUCAUUCAAGUGUCCACUUAAAUGAAACUUCCUUAGGGGGAUCAUCCCUGAAAAAACAUUUUUUUCAAUCAUUUCAUCCUGUAUGUUUCCCUCCUGACAUGUAUCAUAAGUUGGAACUGUCAUGUUGAGGUACUUGGGUUCUUGUUUAUUUUGUAAUCCUCCCACAAAAAUAUAAACUCUAUGAAAAGGGAUCUCAUCUAACUCAUUCACCAUUUUGUCUCACACCAUGAACAGUGCCUGAUGAAAAUAAUAGUUGUCCAUUGAAUAAAU